CGCCUAACACAUGCAAGUCGAACGCAGUAGCAAUACUGAGUGGCAAACGGGUGAGUAUAAUGUGGGAAUCUGCCUUUUGGUUUGGAAUAACACGGGGAAACUUGUGCUAAUACCGAAUAAGCCCUUACGGGGAAAGUUUUAAUGCCGAAAGAUGAGCCCGCACUUGAUUAGCUAGUUGGUAAGGUAAAAGCUUACCAAGGCAACGAUCAAUAGCUGUUCUUAGAGGAAGACCAGCCACAUUGGGACUGAGACACGGCCCAGACUCCUACGGGAGGCAGCAGUGGGGAAUCUUGCACAAUGGGGGAAACCCUGAUGCAGCGAUGCCGCGUGAGUGAAGAAGGCCCUUGGGUUGUAAAACUCUUUCGUCGGGGAAGAAAAUGACUGUACCCGAAUAAGAAGGUCCGGCUAACUUCGUGCCAGCAGCCGCGGUAAUACGAAGGGACCUAGCGUAGUUCGGAAUUACUGGGCUUAAAGAGCUCGUAGGUGGUUGAAAAAGUUGAUGGUGAAAUCCCAAGGCUCAACCUUGGAACUGCCAUCAAAACUUUUUAGCUAGAGUGUGAUAGAGGUAAGUGGAAUCUCUAGUGUAGAGGUGAAAUUCGUAGAUAUUAGAAAGAACACCAAAUGCGAAGGCAACUUACUGGGUCACUACUGACACUGAGGAGCGAAAGCAUGGGUAGCGAAGAGGAUUAGAUACCCUCGUAGUCCAUGCCGUAAACGAUGAGUGCUAGACGUUGGAAAUAUAUUUUUCAGUGUCGCAGCGAAAGCAUUAAGCACUCCGCCUGGGGAGUACGACCGCAAGGUUAAAACUCAAAUGAAUUGACGGGGACCCGCACAAGCAGUGGAGCAUGUGGUUUAAUUCGAAGAUACGCGCAGAACCUUACCAACGCUUGACAUGUUCGUCGCGA
rnacentral:rRNA from 1 species